GAUGAAGAACGCAGUGAAAUGCGAUAAGUAAUGUGAAUUGCAGAAUUCAGUGAAUCAUCGAAUCUUUGAACGCACAUUGCGCCCGCCAGUAUUCUGGCGGGCAUGCCUGUUCGAGCGUCAUUACAACCCUCAGGCCCCCGGGCCUGGCGUUGGGGAUCGGCGGAAGCCCCCUGCGGGCACAACGCCGUCCCCCAAAUACAGUGGCGGUCCCGCCGCAGCUUCCAUUGCGUAGUAGCUAACAUCUCGCAACUGGAGAGCGGCGCGGCCACGCCGUAAAACACCCAACUUCUGAAUGUUGACCUCGAAUCAGGUAGGAAUACCCGCUGAACUUAAGCAUAUCAAUAAGCGGAGGA
rnacentral:misc_RNA from 1 species